AAUGUCAGGAAGUUGGCCGUUUAGGGAGGUGGGUAGAAGGUGACUCGUCAGGCUUGGCAACUCGUUGAGUCGGACGGUUGUCACGACGACUGACCUCCUGCUGCUCUCAACAUGACAGAGAGGAUGACUGAAUGUCAGCUUAACCGCUCCGCCUGUCAUGUCUGUCACACCCGGUGAUACAGGAAGUCAUGUUUCCUGAGACGACUCCGAGCGGCUGAAGCUUUAUUUAUAUUUGAUCUCUUCUGUAAAAGAGAAAGUAAGCGAAGGAUAUUCUGUAGAAACUUUUCGACCCCACAUGGACCCACAGAGCAGUUUGCUGGCUCCAGGUGAAGCUUCCUGGAUUCCCACUUGUUCUCUGGUCGCUUGCCUUUGGAUACCUACCUCUGACUCCAGGAUUUGGAUACUCAGCACGCGACCUCCAUAACCCACCUCUCAUCACCCCGGUGCCCCACCCACCAGGACGCCCCACUUUCCUCCACCUAUGCUCCCUCUCCUACGCUCCCCUGGCUCUCAACCUGCUCCCUCCUCCAGCCAGCAAACUCUCGUCCCACAACGCUGAGCUGUCAUAGCAGUACCUACCACAGACUUAUCUGUGCAUCCUCAGUUCCUUCUUUAUAAAUAAAUCAUAUUUUACCCCCGUUCUUGGUCUGUGUUGCAUCCUGCAUGUCUUGGGUUAGGUACCUUCCUCCAAACAUGACAGGAGGAGCUGGGGGAGGAACAUCUGGACUUCCCUCCUGGACUUGGUACAGUUACAAUCUCAGAUUAAAGGAAUAAUACUGUUGAAUGAAUCUAAACUAAGUCACCAGGUCCUAUGUAUUCAUUUAAUUUUUGUGCUUUUGCACCAGAGUUCAUUUUAAACCUAGCUACAGAAGGCUGUCAAAAAUCUGUGCUCCCAUGUGUCCAGAUUAGCUCUAAUUUCUCCUCAUAUGCUUGAAGCAACAAUCUGAGUUUAGUGCAACGGUAUGAAUAUUGACACAGCUCGUAGAAAAUCUUUGUUAGUUUUAUCUCCUGGUCAACAGAGUUUGUUCUCCCUGUGAAUUAUACCUCAGAACAGAACAUUCCCCCAAUGACAACUCAAAGCAAAUGUGUACAACUACGUUAUGAGAACAUACUCUGCAAAGGAUCAUCUUGGAAUGAACUUUGAAAAGUAAUAAGCAUUUGGAACACACACACACACACACACACACACACACACACACACACACACACACACACACACACACACACACACACACACACACACACACACACACACAAACCUUUGCCCCCACUCUGUAAGUAAAAUAAACUCAAGCCCUUUUUAAUAUAAUUCUGAUGCAUUACCAAAGUGGCACAAUCGUUACAACAUUCAUAACCUGAAGUGGCGUUAGUGGGAUGAGGGCUAAAAUUUCCAUCAGGACCUGUUGUUGCUGCUUAUCAGCACAUUCUGGAGGCCACACUUAAAAAGAGAACACUUUAGUUUCCUUACAUUGAAUUUAAUAUUUACACUGAUAUUUAUUCAUUCAUUAAUUAUGUUGAAGCAUGGUUGAAAAGCAGUAUCUACCUUCCAUUGGUUACAUUCCAUAGAAUUUUUAUUUAUUAUUACUAUUGUCUGAUUCUAAUUAUUUCUGUUGGUUUCUGUGUGCUUUUAAUCAAGUGAGCCAAAUCUGACUGCUUGAGCAAAAACAUAUUUUCUGAUAUAUAAAUGGGCCAUGACAAAUAUAUUUUUUUCUUUUGGUUAACUUUUUGUCACUGUGCAACUGGUUUAAAUUUUCCUCUCUGACUUGGAACAUGAUCUGUUUACAAAUUGGCUCAGUUUUUUUCUGAGAAUGCAUUUUAUAUGUAAAUCCAAAUAUUAUUUUCUUUUCUUUCUGCCUCCAGUAGAAAUCUUUUUUUUUUUUUUCAUUAUCUGUUUCUGGGAGUUUGCUUCUUGUUGAACCUGGAGGGGAAAUCGGUUUGUUAACAUCAGCAGUAAAUCGCACAGCUAAUGGUGUUGAAACAAGAAGGGGAGACAAAGUGCAAGAAUACAAAUAUGGACCCACUGCAGACCGUCUUUGUGAUAAAAUAUUAAACUUACACCAUAAAGAGUAAAUAAUUGACUUGUAGCUCUGCUAGUUAAAGUGUGCUGCUGCAAAAUGUGAUGGGACUUAGUUUAGGGUAAAAGGUGCAUUUUAACCAUUAGCUGAAUUAUUUCUGUUGUGUCUGGCAAAAUAUUAAUGUAGAUUAUAUGUUGUAUUAAAACUGCUGCUGGGCGAAGAAGCAACAACAACGAGUCUAGUGAUCCCUCGCCAAGAGACAAAGAGACUUCCUGAGAGUUUAAAUCUCAUUUAAAAAGUUGUGGAUCAGAUCUGAACACACAGUCUGACUGGCUCCCCUUCACACAUUAAACAUUCUGAGCCUCUAAUAUUUUCUAAGUUCUCCAAUGGUAUGAGCAGGGACACAGCAAGCUGUUUUAAA